GGGGGGAAGGGGGAGGGUAAGCAAAGGUUUUCCAGAGUAUUCUUUUAUCCGCUACUACUAUCUCUCCUUCUCCUUCAAUCUCCUCUGACUUGAUCGUCGGAGGGCCCCCACUACCCCAGUGGUGGUGCGAGGCUUGCCUGCAGGUUUCCCGGUGGAAGGUGGAGCGCAAUCAACCCAACUCCAAGGGAACCCCGUUCACACCGCUGUGCCAAUCGUUCUCGGUUUGGACCACCAGCAACAGUUGGCGCUAGA
rnacentral:lncRNA from 1 species